CGAAAUCGGUAGACGCUACGGACUUAAAAUCCGUCGACUUUAAAAAUCGUGAGGGUUCCC
rnacentral:tRNA from 1 species